UAAAACGAAAAUAAAGACUUCUAAUCUUUAAAUCAGUGUUUCACUUCGUUUUUA
rnacentral:tRNA from 1 species